rnacentral:rRNA from 1 species
UACGAAGGGGGCUAGCGUUGCUCGGAAUCACUGGGCGUAAAGCGCACGUAGGCGGAUUGCUAAGUCAGGGGGGAAAUCCUGGAGCUCAACUCCAGAACUGCCUUUGAUACUGGCGACCUUGAGUCCGGGAGAGGUGAGUGGAACUGCGAGUGUAGAGGUGAAAUUCGUAGAUAUUCGCAAGAACACCAGUGGCGAAGGCGGCUCACUGGCCCGGUACUGACGCUGAGGUGCAAAAGCGUGGGGAGCAAACAGG